GAUGAACGCUGGCGGCGUGCCUAAUACAUGCAAGUCGAGCGGACGGACGAUAAGCUUGCUGCUCUGAUGUUAGCGGCGCACGGGUGAGUAACACGUGUAUAACCUACCUAUAAUACGGGGAUAACUUCGGGACACCGGCGCUAAUACCGGAUAAUCUCUUGAACCGCAUGGUUCAAUAGAGAAAGACGGUCUUGCUGUCACUUAUAGAUGGAUCCGCGCUGCAUUAGCUAGUUGGUAAGUUAACGGCCUACCAAGGCAACGAUGCAUAGCCGACCUGAGAGGGUGAUCGGCGGCCUGGGAACUUGAACACGGUCCAUAGGCCUACGAGAGGCAGCAGUAGCGUACGGGCGGCAGUAGUCGGAAACCUGGCGGAGCAACGGCGCGUGAGUGAUGGAGGUGUUGGGAUCGUAAUACUCUGUUAUUAGGUGAGAACAGAUGUGUACGGAACUGUGCACAGCUUGACGGUACCUAAUCAGAAAGCCCCGGCUAACUACGUG
rnacentral:rRNA from 1 species